UGCUGUGUGUUGUGCUGUGUGUGUUGUGUGUGCUGUGUGUUGUGCUGUGUGCUUUGUGUGUUGUGCUGUGUGUGUGCUGUGCUGUGUGUGUGCGAGACAGCGGAUUGGCCUUGCUCGUUCCAAGCCUCUGUCCCACGUUCACACGGAGGGAGACGUCAGAUUUGUGACUGUCCGUGGACGGUCACGGACGGCAGAGGACUGCGCCCCCCACUGGUAAACUCGCAGAGCACCCCACGGACACCAAAACAACCUAUGGCGCAGACGGACAGGAUGACGGAAUAGACGUUCACUCAGCCUCGCCACAAUGGAGUGGAUGGUAAACAGAUGGUGAAGGAGGAAGACAGCGGAAAAAGAUGGCGAGACGAUGUCAAGAAAUCGGAGGCCUCUACUGGGCAAGGAUAAUGAAGGAAAGCACAGAAGGGAAGACAGUGGGGGAGAGGUCUCUGCCCAGGAUUGAAAAGUUACACAGACUGACAAAGAACAAACAAAGCUACCUUAAAUGUCACUUUGCUUGUGCCUCUCUAUUUUUUCCAAAGGUGCACUCAUAUUUCAGUAAACGAUGAACAUGGGACAAUUUGUUAUCUGUAUAAUAAAAGCUUCCUCGGAGGGGUUCCACAA